AGGAUCCACAAUUUGAAUAAGAGUGAAGCUGGUACCCGAUGUGAAGAUAGGUCUUGCUUCUUUGUUAUCUCCCAGGCAGGUUGUACAAAUCCUGGCUGCCAAUAUUCACAUUCCUUGCCAAAUGGCCAUCAGAGGAUUUAAUUUGUCAAUAGGCUGCAUGAAUACCCAGGCCACCUCCAUCUGCUGCUGUGACAGAACACAAUUAACAGGAAAAUCCCAGACCCUUUCCUCCUCUGUCUUGAUGCUGGAGUUUUCUGGCUGAGCGAUUUGACAUCAUCAUCAUUGCAGACGUUUCCCCUAUCUCUAUAGCAACGCACGAUGAUGCCACAAACAGAGGAUUAUGCAAUCUGUGUAGGCUCAGAUGGAAGGAGAGGCAGGGCUGGGAGCUCUGAUUUAUACACAAAUGUCUCUAAUAGCAGCAAGGGGAAUACAGAAACUUCUUGGCCAAGGAAAUGGUUUUUGUAUAAACAUUCUCAUCUUCCAAGUUUCUCUCCGGUGGGAAAGUUCCUCCUUAAAGUCCUCUUAUACAUAUACAUGUGUUGUAUAUACACAUUCACACACAGCUAUGUAUAUUUGUGUGUGAAGGAAUAUAGUGAUUAUGCAAAUGCAAUAUUGUUCCCAGCAUUGUGCAAGCAGGGAUAUUGCCAGCCCCCUAUACACAACCUCUAUCUAACAUAUCCAAGUUCAGCUGUGCUUUGCUCACCCCAAGCACAAAGGUGCUGUGGGACUGCCCAGACCUUGCACUCCCUCUUCAGCAGAAGGCUGGCCUGGAAGAUGCUGCUGAAUGUCUUUUUAAUAUAUGCUCUGGGAUCCUUUUGGAUCCUUGGAUAGAUGGGAUCAGCAUCCUUCUUGUUCAAACCCUCUCUAUCAUUUCUCUAGCAACUUUGUCCUGUGGUUAAGGCACAGGAGGAGAAGCAUAAGGGCAAUUUAAAAUCUUUGCCUUCCCAAAGGCUUUGUAGCUAAGCCUAUGGAAAUGUCUUUGAAGCCCUUCCUGUGCCUCAGUUUCUCCUGCAAUAGGACACAUAAAUCUCAGUUCUUAAGGAGGUGGUGAGUCUCAGCACUCUCAUCUCUGAGUGCUCAGACUCUUCGGUAAGGGGGUCCAUGGAGACUCUGGAAAACACACUUGUGGGUGUUUCUUCUAUGUUUAUCUAAUUUUUAUUGAACAUACAAAUGCAUCCUAUCUAGCACAUGUCAGAAUCAAUAACUGUGCCUUGUUAGCAGUUUUUCCAUUUAUGGCAUAUUGUCCUGACAUAGCUGUAAAACCUCAAUGAAUAUGGUUUUAAUAACUCAAUGGUAUUUAAUGUACAAUCGCUGUCUUAUUAGGUCUAAAUUAAAUCCUUACUUGAGACACUUAA